rnacentral:rRNA from 1 species
AUUGAACGCUGGCGGCAGGCCUAACACAUGCAAGUAGAACGAGUGGCGGACGGGUGAGUAAUGUCUGGGAAACUGCCUGAUGGAGGGGGAUAACUACUGGAAACGGUAACUAAUACCGCAUACCAUCGGAUGUGCCCAGAUGGGAUUAGCUAGUAGGUGGGGUAACGGCUCAACUAGGGGACAAUCCCUAGCUGGUCUGAGAGGAUGACCAGCCACACGGGAACUUAGAAACGGGCCAGACUCCGACGGGAGGCAGAAGUGGGGAAUAUUGCACAAUGGGCUGAAGCCUGAUGCAGCCAGGCCGCGUGGAUGAAGAAGGCCUUCGGGUUGUAAAGUACUUUCAGCGGGGAGGCGUUACCCGCAGAAGAAGCACCGGCUAACUCCGUGCCAGCCGCCGCGGUAAUAC